CUGCAGGCCCGAGAGCGUCAUCUGCAGGACAGCCGGGGCGCUGCAUUACGGCGCCAUUGCUCCGCUCUACGUCUCCAGGUUUGCUGGAGCUCUGCUUCGAUCAGCUUCUCUGUCUCUGCCUCCUGACGUCUCUGCUCCUCCAGCUGCUCAGCCAGUUGUUCCAGAAUGCUCAUGUCCAAGGCCAGCUCAUCCUGCUGCUCCUGCGCCACUCG